rnacentral:rRNA from 1 species
UACGGAGGGUGCAAGCGUUGUCCGGAAUCACUGGGCGUAAAGGGCGCGUAGGCGGCUAUGUAAGUCCGCUGUAAAAGUCCAGGGCUCAACCCUGGAAAGCCGGUGGAUACUGUCGGGCUAGAGUCCGGAAGAGGCGAGUGGAAUUCCUGGUGUAGCGGUGGAAUGCGCAGAUAUCAGGAGGAACACCGAUGGCGAAGGCAGCUCGCUGGGACGGUACUGACGCUGAGGCGCGAAAGCGUGGGGAGCGAACAGG